UCUGAUGCCGUUGUCUGAUCGUUAUCAUACUUCGUUUCAGGAUGACAUACUUGCCGAAGAAGCAUAUAACAUGGAUUGGUAUGAAGUGGACAACAGAUUGAGUAAAGACUUAAUAUUUUUUCUCAUGAGACUUCAGAAAAACAACGAAUUCAAAUCGCUAUCUUUUGUUUUGAAGAGGCCUUUAUUGCUUUCGAUGAUGAAAACAAUGUAUUCUCUCCUGAUGCUGAUUCUCAACUGAUAUUAAAUACUUCAGAGGUUUCAGUGAAAUUUUGUGUUCUGAUUGGAUGGAAAAUAUUUCAUUCCUUGAAUGCGUAUCAAAUUCACCCAAGAAACGUUCCUCUAUAUUCAAUACUUCAAGACAACUUGCAAGAUAUUAAUGAUCAACAACAUUAUUUAUACCACUACAACCACUUGAGAAAUUGUUGUCCUACUUGUGUUACUAUUUCACCAAUAAAUGAAAAUUUCACGUAAAA